UACGAAGGGGGCUAGCGUUGCUCGGAAUUACUGGGCGUAAAGCGCACGUAGGCGGCUUUCUAAGUCGGGGGUGAAAUCCUGGAGCUCAACUCCAGAACUGCCUUUGAUACUGGGAAUCUCGAGUCCGGGAGAGGUGAGUGGAACUGCGAGUGUAGAGGUGAAAUUCGUAGAUAUUCGCAAGAACACCAGUGGCGAAGGCGGCUCACUGGCCCGGUACUGACGCUGAGGUGCGAAAGCGUGGGGAGCAAACAGG
rnacentral:rRNA from 1 species